AUUGAACGCUGGCGGAAUGCUUUACACAUGCAAGUCGAACGGUAGAGGGGGCAACCCCUUGAGAGUGGCGAACGGGUGAGUAAUAUAUCGGAACGUGCCCAGUCGUGGGGGAUAACGUAGCGAAAGUAACGCUAAUACCGCAUACGAUCUAAGGAUGAAAGCGGGGGAUCGCAAGACCUCGCGCAAUUGGAGCGGCCGAUAUCAGAUUAGGUAGUUGGUGGGGUAAAGGCUCACCAAGCCAACGAUCUGUAGCUGGUCUGAGAGGACGACCAGCCACACUGGAACUGAGACACGGUCCAGACUCCUACGGGAGGCAGCAGUGGGGAAUUUUGGACAAUGGACGCAAGUCUGAUCCAGCCAUUCCGCGUGCAGGAUGAAGGCCCUCGGGUUGUAAACUGCUUUUGUACGGAACGAAAAGGUCUCUCUUAAUACGGGGGGCUCAUGACGGUACCGUAAGAAUAAGCACCGGCUAACUACGUGCCAGCCGCCGCAGUAA
rnacentral:rRNA from 1 species